AGUAGUGAAAACUAAGACAGUGUCCCCAAAAGUAACGAAAACUACGAAAAUUAUGCCUAAAGUUAAAAAAGUUAAGACAGUUGAGCCAAAAGUGACUAAAACUACGAAAAUAAUGCCAAAAAGUAAG